rnacentral:rRNA from 1 species
GUAUCCUGAGUACCGCGAGGUCGGAGACGCCUUGUGGGAAUCUGCCGGCACCAUCCGGUAAGGCUAAAUACUCCUGAGAGACCGAUAGUGAACCAGUACCGUGAGGGAAAGGUGAAAAGAACCCCGAACAGGGGAGUGAAAUAGAACCUGAAACUGUGUGCUUACAAGCGGUCGGAGCGUCCAGGUGGCGUGACGGCGUGCCUUUUGCAUAAUGAGCCUACGAGUUACUCUUCUCUGGCAAGGUUAAGUGUUUAAGACACGGAUCCGAAGCGAAAGCGAGUCUGAAUAG